AAGGCCCGCAACAAGAAAUCCUU
rnacentral:misc_RNA from 1 species